rnacentral:rRNA from 1 species
CACGUAGGGCGCAAGCGUUGUCCGGAAUUAUUGGGCGUAAAGAGCUCGUAGGCGGUCUGUCGCGUCGGCUGUGAAAUCCCGAGGCUCAACCUCGGGUCUGCAGUCGAUACGGGCAAACUAGAGUAUUGCAGGGGAGACUGGAAUUCCUGGUGUAGCGGUGAAAUGCGCAGAUAUCAGGAGGAACACCGGUGGCGAAGGCGGGUCUCUGGGCAAUACUGACGCUGAGGAGCGAAAGCGUGGGGAGCGAACAGG